UACGAAGGGGGCUAGCGUUGCUCGGAAUUACUGGGCGUAAAGAGUGUGUAGGCGGUGCUCUAAGUCUGUCGUGAAAUCUCCCGGCUUAACUGGGAGGGUGCGGCGGAAACUGGAGUGCUAGAGGGUGGGAGAGGUAAGCGGAAUUCCUGGUGUAGCGGUGAAAUGCGUAGAUAUCAGGAGGAACACCUGCGGUGUAGACAGCUUACUGGACCACUUCUGACGCUGAGACACGAAAGCGUGGGUAGCAAACAGG
rnacentral:rRNA from 1 species